UUUCGUUCAAAUUCAAUUCUGCUAUAAAUAACGCUGCUACAGAAGCUAUUUGACAAUAUUUUAUACUAAAUAGCAUAUCGCAAAAUAUGGUAAUUUCUUCAAUUUCCACUACUCUGUAGCGCCAUUAUAGCAUAUAUUUAACCACACUUUUUACUAUGAGUCCAUGACACAUAACUGAUUCAAAAUCUAUUAAGCAAUAAAACGAAACUACGAGUCCAUGACACAUAACUGGUCCAAAAUCUAUUAAGCAAUAAAACGAAACUAUGAGUCCAUGACAGAUCCAAAAUCUAUUAAGCAAUAAAACGAAACUGCGAGUCCAUGACACAUAACUGAUCCAAAAUCUAUUAAGCAAUAAAACGAAAAACUUGCUUUACUACGAGUCCAUGACUCAUAACUGAUCCAAAAUCUAGUAAGCAAUAAGACGAAAAACAUGUUUUGAAAAA
rnacentral:lncRNA from 1 species